rnacentral:rRNA from 1 species
GUUGGCUGCCAAACUGCCUUGGGCUGGGAUCUCGUACUGACCCACGGUAAACAGGGUUCGGCUAGAGCAGUACUUGGAAGGGUGACCUCCAGGGGUCAUCCAGGGCUGCUGGUA